rnacentral:lncRNA from 1 species
AAGAGCCUCCAGAGACGACUCAAUGUCCAUUUCCACUUCCACUCCAUUAAUUUCGUAACUCUUCAUGUAGUUAAUUUGUAUUAUUUUGAAAAAUAUCGAAGUCUUUUUCACCAUUUAUAUGAAAUCCUAAUGAAGCACUAUAAAAUUACAAGCUUUCCAACUUCAAAACUUCAAUAUAUGAAUUCAAGUUCAACCAGACCCCUCAAAAGAUCACCUAAAUUGAUACCCAAAACCAGAAAUCUAGAGAAUCAUUUAUCAGACUAUCUGGGAUAUAUUCCUUUGUGGGUUAAUUAACAGAUUUUUAAACAAUAGAUGUAUAUGUUAAAUCAUGAUGGGGGAAAAUCAAAUGAACAUUGACAUAUAUAAGAAGAUGAUUAGCAAGAAAGAAAGUUCACUGGGGGCAACUGCCCCCACUCGACCCCUCUGUGUCCGCCUGUGUCCACAUGCAUCUUGACCGUUCAGUUUAUAGAUAUUUAUGAGUAGAUCAUUUCUGUAAAUUUUCAGUCAUAUUGAAAAUCGUUAAGACAUUUAUAAGUGUGAUUUACCAAUUAUGAACUUGAACGGUUCAUGUUUGACAGAUUUGGUUCGUCUAUUAACUUGAUCUAGUUUGUUACCUUAACGAUCACCGAUUUGGCUAAAAAUUUAUAGGGUUGAUCUACACAUAUAAACCUAAAAACUGAACGGAUGAGAUGUCAAGAUGUGAUAAAAAAAAAUAGGUAUUUUAAACCAUAAAUCGAAAAGUCCUUAACUAGUCCUCAACUUAAAGGUUCUCACUAGAAGAGCUCCUGUUAAAUAUAUAUCUUAGUCUUCUUACUCUUCUAGAAUCAAUAAAUUUUUCUAAGGAACUAAGGAAGACGGAGCCCUUCUAGUGAGGACUCUUAAGUUGAGGACUUGUUGAGGACUUUUUGGCUUAUCCCAUCUUUCGAUCUUAUAUCCACAUCUUGACCGUUUAGUUUGUAGGUAUUUAUAAGUAGAUCAUUGUUCCAAAUUUUCAGCUAUAUUAAACAUUGUUAAGGCAUUCGUAAGUGUGAUUUAUCAAUUAUGAACUUGAAC